UGAGGAAUCUUGCGCAAUGGGGGAAACCCUGACGCAGCAACGCCGCGUGAGUGAGGAAGGUCUACGGGUCGUAAAGCUCUGUCAGGCGGGAAGAAAUGCAUGGAGGUGAACAGCCGCCAUGCUUGACGGUACCGCCAGAGGAAGCACCGGCUAACUCCGUGCCAGCAGCCGCGGUAAUACGGGGGGUGCAAGCGUUGUUCGGAAUCAUUGGGCGUAAAGAGCGUGUAGGCGGCUUGGUAAGUCAGAUGUGAAAGCCCUGGGCUCAACGCAGGAAGUGCAUUUGAAACUGCCAGGCUCGAGUAGGGGAGAGGGAAGUGGAAUUCCUGGUGUAGAGGUGAAAUUCGUAGAUAUCAGGAGGAACACCGGUGGCGAAGGCGACUUCCUGGCCCUAUACUGACGCUGAGACGCGAGAGCGUGGGUAGCAAACAG
rnacentral:rRNA from 1 species